AAUCUUAAUUAAACUUGAUCAAAUCAAUAAAUUAAUUGAGUCAUAGUUUCAAUUAAAUCAGGAUCAAUUCUCCCUCAUUGAUUAGGUUAUCUCAUAACCUAAUCGGAUCUGACCUGAUUGAAUCCAAUUCAAUUAGACUUGAUCUAGACUUUAAUGCUCAAUUAAAUUGAGCUAAUUGAUAAUCUAAUCACUAACUAAUCGUUCAUUAAUGAUAGAGUCUCCAUCCAGUGGGACUCUUCACCAGAGUUUCAGUCCAAUGGGACUCUUCAGAUUAGCCAUC
rnacentral:lncRNA from 1 species